AACUUAAAAAAAACAGUCAAAAAACUGAUACCAAAUAGAGCCUUAGUAAUUUAAUCAUGAUGUCAGCCUUGUAUUGUGAUGAGUUUGAAUCUUUUGAAGUGUAGUAUACUUAGAGUAUACAAAACGACGUCAUUUUAAUUAACAGUAAAACGAUGUUAUUUUAUAUUUAGUGCAAAGCAUGUUAUUUUAAAUUUUUGAAGUUAUAACAUAUCAUUUUUUUGACCUCCAUACACACUCCACAAAACCGCAACGUUAUAGACAACCCUAAAAAUCCGUAUUGUAAUAUCGUUAGCGUAUCAAAAUUGAGUUGGGUCUGAUGUGGAUUAGGAAAGUGGAAAGAAAAGGGAUAAAUAUUUGCCAAAAAAUCGUGGGUAAAUCAUGCAAAUGGUCCUGCAAUAAAUUAUUCAUCUCGUGUCAUUUUUAUUUCUCUCCUACUAAUUAUCUCAAUUUCAUCUUAAAUUUUAUGUGGUCCUUUACUAACUAUAAUUUCUUUUAAAGUUUUUUAUUAUAAAAAUAAUAUUUAAUUUUUUUAAUCUUUGAUAUAUAUCAUGAAUCCGACUAGAUAAAUUUCUUUGAUAGCUAGCACAUUGUAAAAGAAUCAUCUCUUUAUAAUUACUUGAGUCUAAUCCAUUAUCGAUAUCAAAGACCAAAAAAAAUUCAAAACCUUUUUUAUUAUAAAAAAACUUAGAAAGAAAAAUCUAAAUUAAAAAAAAGUCCACAUAAAACCCAAUUGUAUACCUUAAAGACGAAAUUGAGAAAAUUAAUAUAUAAAGAACCAAAGUAACAUAAAAUGAAUACUUUAGAGACCAUUGAUAUAAUUUAUCCUAAAAUCAUUUUCUUGUUGGUAUGCCACAAAAAGAUAGUAAUAUGGCAAAAUUUACCAGCGGUCCCAGUAUACAAGUUUUAUAUCUUUAUUCCUCAAGUUCUAAUUUUGUCAAUAUCAUAUCCGAGGUAUUUAAUUCUAACUCAGGAUUUUUUUAAAAAUUUUGACAAAAUCGUCAAUGUAAAUUUUGACAAUCCAAAGGUACACCCGUCUCAAUAACUAAUAUAACAACAACAACGACAAUAAUAAGCAACUACUGGGCUCAAUAUACAACCGUGUCACUACCAAACUCAAUAUACAACAAUACUACUACAAGGCCACUAUCGGGCUAAAUAUACAUCAUGCACUAGGAAUAAAAUAUAAGUUGAAGAUGCAUAAUUAUCUAAGUUAACAAAUAUACAUGUUUGUUUACAUUUUUCAUUUACAUAAAAAUCAAAAAAUAAAUAAAUAUAUCAUCCACAAGAUGUAUCUCAAAAAGGGGAGUCUCGUCAGGAUGCCAAGUUACACAUUUACCUAAAAAGAUAUCCAAACAACGUGGAUAAACAUAAAACUUGUAAUAAUUUUUAACCAAUAUAAAAUUGCAAUAACUUUCUCACAAAACGCACAUUCAACCCCUCACAUAUGGUUCAAAAAGGGGAAAAGAGAGGGGGAGAGGGGGAAGAGAGUAUCUCACUCUCUCACACACACAAUCGCUCUAUCAGUUCUACUAUAAAACAUAAACAUCAACUCUCAAAAUCUAACUAUAAAACAAAUAAUCCGCACUUUGACUCACAAAUCAAACAAUACUACAAUCAACACAGAGAGAGAAUCAUAUUCUGGUAAGUGUACAUACUUACCACUCGACUAAUCCCUACGUCUCGCGAGUCAAUAUCAUUUUCUACCCCUUACGUAAGCAUAUUACGCCGAUCACGUCAGAUAAGGACUCAACUUCAGUGAUUGUACAUCCUCCUCUACCUUUUACGUAGUCAUGUACAACUCGACUAAUCAUCCGUUCUCCUUCUAACCCUUACGUAGGUAUCUACUACUUGACCAAUUAAUCCGUUCUGACUAAUCAACAUCCUCUUCUACUUCUUACGUACUUAUGUUACCCUAAUGACAUAUCCCGACUCAAGAUUGAUAACAUCACACCCCCCUCUUUUUAAAGUAUGUCUCACCUAAGGAGCACUCUCAUCCUAAUUCAACAUAUCAACAAACUCUUCACCAAGUCAACACUUCAACCACGGCAAAUUACAAGCUAAGCACCAGCUACAUAAUUUCAACGUGCCUUUCAGACAAUCUUAGCACCUACACACAUAAACUCAACAAGUUCACAAUUAAAGCUCACUUUGCCAAAACUUAAAACACUUAAUUACGUUUGUAAAUCAAGCAUGUUUCACAUUUCGUUAUAGGCGAGCAAUCACAUAAUCACUAUUUAUUCCACAAUAAGUAACACUCAACCAUAUAAGAAUAUAAAUACACAGUUUUUAUACUCUUUUCCUAUUUCCAAAAUUAUAAAGAAAGUUAAAAAUCCCAACCUCAAAGGGGGUGUGAAACCCACGUCACCCGAAUCGGACGGUGUCCCAGACGAAGAGUGGGGCAUGUGUGGUGGUCCCGCGGUGAGGUUAUUCACCCGUGAAAGAGGAAUUUGGGGAAAAGGGAAAUUUGGGGGAAGAGGAGAGAGAAGGGGAAGGGGAAUGGUGCUGGACAGAAGGGAGGUGACGGAGAAAGGGAGGUCGGAAGACAGAGGGGGUGAGCUGUGGUCGUCGCUGGCGUCGGCGGUGGUAACCGUAUUGGUGUCCGGCAGAGAGAGGGAUCGCGCAAAUCCCGGGGGGUGGGGGUCGUGUGAGGGUCGGAGAGAGAAAGGUAAUCGGGGGAAGGGGGGAGGAGGGUGAUCGGCGCGGCUGUGAUGGUAUCGGCCGGCGGUGAUCGAGAGAGAGGGAGAUAACAAUUUGGGGUGGGGUGGGGUGCGACUGAAACAAAUGGGACGGAGCUGCCUUCUGGUUGCUCUCAAAAGCUAAAGCUUGCUCAAAUGGUCCGACUCCCAUGCCCAUGAUGGUUUCUGGCUGAUUUUAACUCUUGGAUAUCAUAAAAGAAUCUCAGCCACUGAUUUUAAUUUUACGACUCCCUUCAAGUAUGCACACUUGUUUCUUUAUUUUUCUAAAUUAAAAAUUCUUACAUGUCAUCUCAUUAAACUUUUUAGGAUGGAGGAUGUUAAUACGAGCUCGCUCGUUGUGGCGCGCCCACAUCUAUCCAUUUGGAGUGGAUCUCAUAAGUUUUUUUUUUUAAAAUAGGGUCGACCCCCAAAUGGGUGGAUAUAGGUGCGCUACGUAGGCGAGCCCAUCUGAACAUGACUCUUUUAGGAUUGAAACUAGCCCCAAGCCGUUAACAGAAAUUUAAAAUCACUAAAUAAAAUUAGUAAGUAGUGUCAGAUAACUGAUAAAAAUAAUUUCGUUGUAGCAUAAGUAUACUUAGGCUCCGUUUGACACCAGUUUUUUUCAUCUUUUUUUUUUUGCUUUUUGUCUUAAAAUAAGUAAAAAAAUCAAUCAGAAUUGACUUUUUUACUUGUCUGAUGGUUUGCUUUUUGCCUUAAUUUUUGCCUAAAGUAAAGGCCACAAAAGCAAAAAGUCAAAAAAUCUUGACCUUUUUAAUAGCAAAAUUAAAAAAAGCUUGACUUUUAAAUAUUAUCAAACGGAGCUUUAAUCUAAUAUGCUUUGUGGUUCGAUUGACUUAAUAAAUUCUUUCGGCUAACCAACGUGUAAUAUCAAGUUAUACUCAUCAUAGAGUAACCCAUAUGCGUGUGCAAGGUACACAACCUACACCAAUUUUCAAUACCUUAGCCGCAAACAACCGCCAUACCGAAUUGGUAGUUAAACUGCCUUAAAUUAGUUAUUAAGUCAUCUUAAUAAAAUUAAACAGACCGAAUUGGUAGCUUGGCUGCUUUGAUAAAUUAAAUGUUUUAAAGACAAAAUUGUUCUUUACUCCACUUUUAAUACACUUUACGUUUUUUCUUUAUAAUAGAAAAUUAUAUAUAUAUAAAAACAUUCACUUUAUUACACAUAUUUGAAUUAAAAAACAACAACAUAAUUUACGGAUAAAAACAAAAUGAAUUUGAAUGUACAAAAUGGAGCAUGAAUAUCAAUUUAGAAAAUAGUUUGUGUGAGAUUUAUCUAUCAUAUCCUCAUUGAGGGUGCGUAUAUCGAUGGAGUUUAAAUUUGAGAAUCGAAUAUAGAGAAAUAUUCCUUAAUUUGUACUCUAUCCCCCAAAAUGACAAAUGGAACAGAAGCUAUACUUAUUUCAUCACAUUGGAUAAGAAAAAAAAGUUCAUGGUUGCUCUCUAAUGCAAUUUAUAUCAUACUUUAUAUAUAUUCAUAUAUAAUACUAAUUGAGUUUUUGGCAAUACACACAUAUAUAUAAGUUUUAAAGUAUAUAUAAUUUAAAAAAAAUCUUAAAAUAAAUAUUUCUAAAUAAUUACUUUUAAUUGUUAUUUGUAAAAUAUAUACUAAAUUGUUAGAAUCUUUCUUUAAAUGUUUGGUUCUUUAAUCAAAUAUUUAUUUAGAAUAUAUAAAAAAAAUAGUUCAUAGAAAUUAUUUUUUCACAUGGUUAUAUCAAUAGAUUAUUAAUUAAAAAUAUAAUGUUUAAACUUGAUGUUCUCACUCCUAAAUUUAUGUUCUCCACUCUAUAAUGUGCCUUAAGAUAAAGACAAAAAUGUAUUAGAGGUAGUAAAAGGUAGCAAGUGUAACCAUUAAGGGGAUCGUUUGACUAUCGGAUUUGGAGGGUGAUAACCUUUUCCCCGAAUAAUUUUUUUCCCCAGGCGUUUGGCUGGUGGAUAUGGAUGCGGAUAAUUUAUGCCCCUGGAAGUGGAUAAAGCGAAUAAUUUUUUGAUGGCCUACACCCUAAUUAAAAGUUAUCCGGGGAUAAGGCGUGGGGGAUAAGAAAAUAAAUAUAUAACGAAAAAUUAAAAUGUAUAAUUUUUUUUCUAUAUAUAGAAAUAAUAUAUAUAUGUUAUAUUAAAUAUUUUUAUUAUUUUCUUUUCUCUUUAAUAUUUUAUUCUUUAUCCUUCACCCUUAUCCACUCUUUCUAAAAAGUAUCCAAACAAAAUUAAAAAUUAUUCUCUUUCAAAAGUUAUCCCCUUUAAAAGUUAUCCCCUCACAUAUCCUCCAGCCAAACGAGCCCUAAAAGUUAUAAUUAUUGGGCAGAU
rnacentral:lncRNA from 1 species